CACGCCGUAAACGAUGGAUACUAGGUGUAGGAGGUAUCGACCCCUUCUGUGCCGGAGUUAACACAAUAAGUAUCCCACCUGGGGAGUACGGCCGCAAGGUUGAAACUCAAAGGAAUUGACGGGGGCCCGCACAAGCAGUGGAGUAUGUGGUUUAAUUCGAAGCAACGCGAAGAACCUUACCAGGGCUUGACAUACCAUUGACGUACUUAGAGAUAGGUAUUUCCUUCGGGACAAUGGAUACAGGUGG
rnacentral:rRNA from 1 species